AACGAACGCUGGCGGCACGUUUUAAGCAUGCAAGUCGAAUGGCAGUGGGGGCAACCCCAUGAGAAUGGCGAACGGGUGAGUAACACGUAGGUGAUCUGCCUGACGGAUGGGGAUAGCUUGUGGAAACACAGGGUAAUACCGAAUGAGCUGACGAGACUUUGGUUUUGUUAGUAAAGGUGCUACGGCACCGCCGACAGAGGAGCCUGCGGCUGAUUAGCUAGUUGGUGGGGUAAAGGCCUACCAAGGCGACGAUCAGUAGCCGGCCUGAGAGGGUGGACGGCCACCCUGGAACUGAGAAACGGUCCAGACGCCUACGGGAGGCAGCAGCUAAGAAUCUUCCGCAAUGGGAGAAAGCCUGACGGAGCGAUGCCGCGUUAUCGAUGAAGGUCGAGAGAUUGUAAAGAUCUUUUCUACAUGAGGAAUAAGUCUGGGAGGGAAUGCCUGGAUGAUGACGUUAGUGUAGGAAUAAGCCCCGGCUAAUUACGUGCCAGCAGCCGCCGUAA
rnacentral:rRNA from 1 species